GAUGAACGCUAGCUACAGGCUUAACACAUGCAAGUCGAGGGGUAACAAGAGAAAAGCUUGCUUUUCUUGUUGACGACCGGCGCACGGGUGAGUAACGCGUAUCCAACCUGCCUAUAACUAGGGAAUAACCUUGCGAAAGUAAGACUAAUACCCUAUGAUUUCCUUUGAUGACAUCAGAUUAGGAAUAAAGAUUUAUCGGUUAUAGAUGGGGAUGCGUCUGAUUAGCUUGUUGGCGGGGUAACGGCCUACCAAGGCAACGAUCAGUAAGGGUUCUGAGAGGAAGGUCCCCCACAUUGGAACUGAGACACGGUCCAAACUCCUACGGGAGGCAGCAGUGAGGAAUAUUGGUCAAUGGGCGGAAGCCUGAACCAGCCAAGUAGCGUGCAGGAUGACGGCCCUAUGGGUUGUAAACUGCUUUCGUCGAGGAAUAAACCUAUCUACGUGUAGCUAGUUGAACGUACUCGAAGAAUAAGGAUCGGCUAACUCCGUGCCAGCAGCCGCAGUAA
rnacentral:rRNA from 1 species